rnacentral:rRNA from 1 species
UACGGAGGAUGCAAGCGUUAUCCGGAAUGAUUGGGCGUAAAGCGUCCGCAGGUGGCUAUGUAAGUCUGCUGUUAAAGAGUGAGGCUCAACCUCAUAAGAGCAGUGGAAACUACAUGGCUAGAGUGCGUUCGGGGCAGAGGGAAUUCCUGGUGUAGCGGUGAAAUGCGUAGAUAUCAGGAAGAACACCCGUGGCGAAGGCGGCUCUCUGGGACGGUACUGACGCUGAGACGCGAAAGCGUGGGGAGCGAACAGG